rnacentral:rRNA from 1 species
UCAGACGAUGCGUCAUGCAUAUCAAUAAGCGGAGGAAAAGAAACUAACAAGGAUUCCCCUAGUAACGGCGAGUGAAGCGGGAAGAGCUCAAAUUUGAAAUCUUAAAGGGUUUCCCUUUACGAAUUGUAGUUUAAAGAAGUGUUUUCUGUUGAGGUUUUGGUAAAAGUUCUUUGGAAUAGGACAUCAUAGAGGGUGAGAAUCCCGUAUUUGACCUUUACUUUCAACUUUGUGAUACACUUUCAAAGAGUCGGAUUGUUUGGGAAUGCAGUCCAAAAUGGGUGGUAAAUUUCAUCUAAAGCUAAAUAUUGGCGAGAGACCGAUAGCGAACAAGUACCGUGAGGGAAAGAUGAAAAGAACUUUGAAAAGAGAGUUAAACAGUACGUGAAAUUGUCAAAAGGGAAGCGUUUGACACCAGUGUUGUUUUUCUGAAAAUCAAUUAAAGAACUGUUUAUGCUAAGUUGUUUAGACUUUAUCAGCUAACUGUUUAGUUUUGAGCUUUUCUUUAAUGCACUUUUCAGUUAACAAGUCAACAUCAAUUUCUUUUGCUGUAAAAAAGCUUGAGGAAGGUGGCUUGAGAUUCGUCUUAAGUGUUUAUAGCCUCUUGCCUAUGCAGUCGGAGAGAUUGAGGUCUGCAGCGUAGAUCCUUCGGGGCUAAAUGCAUUUGUGCUAAGUUAUAGCAUUUCAUAGACGACUUGUUGACUAUGAUUUGUCUUGUAGCUUACUCGCUUAUGUUAUUUUACCUACGCUUAGGAUGUUGAAUCUGUGCGAGACUAC